rnacentral:rRNA from 1 species
AACUGUGCCUCGGGCAGGGAUCUCUGCCCCGGGUGCGUCGCAGCCCCGGACCAAGGCGCCCGCCGGAGGACCAACCAAAACUCUUAUUGUAUACCCCCUCGCGGGUUUUUUUAUAAUCUGAGCCUUCUCGGCGCCUCUCGUAGGCGUUUCGAAAAUGAAUCAAAACUUUCAACAACGGAUCUCUUGGUUCUGGCAUCGAUGAAGAACGCAGCGAAAUGCGAUAAGUAAUGUGAAUUGCAGAAUUCAGUGAAUCAUCGAAUCUUUGAACGCACAUUGCGCCCGCCAGUAUUCUGGCGGGCAUGCCUGUCCGAGCGUCAUUUCAACCCUCGAACCCCUCCGGGGGGUCGGCGUUGGGGAUCGGCCCUGCCUUGGCGGUGGCCGUCUCCGAAAUACAGUGGCGGUCUCGCCGCAGCCUCUCCUGCGCAGUAGUUUGCACACUCGCAUCGGGAGCGCGGCGCGUCCACAGCCGUUAAACACCCAACUUCUGAAAUGUUGACCUCGGAUCAGGUAAGAAUAACCUGAACUUAAAAUAUCAAUAGCGGAGGAACUU